AACGAACGCUGGCGGCAUGCCUAACACAUGCAAGUCGAACGAGACCUUCGGGUCUAGUGGCGCACGGGUGCGUAACGCGUGGGAACCUGCCCUUAGGUUCGGAAUAACUCAGAGAAAUUUGAGCUAAUACCGGAUGAUGUCUUCGGACCAAAGAUUUAUCGCCUUUAGAUGGGCCCGCGUUGGAUUAGCUAGUUGGUGGGGUAAAGGCCUACCAAGGCGACGAUCCAUAGCUGGUCUGAGAGGAUGAUCAGCCACACUGGGACUGAGACACGGCCCAGACUCCUACGGGAGGCAGCAGUGGGGAAUAUUGGACAAUGGGCGAAAGACUGAUCCAGCAAUGCCGCGUGAGUGAUGAAGGCCUUAGGGUUGUAAAGCUCUUUUACCCGAGAUGAUAAUGACAGUAGCGUGAGAAUAAGCUCCGGCUAACUCCGUG
rnacentral:rRNA from 1 species